rfam:Tupaia chinensis contig1626, whole genome shotgun sequence.
UGGUGCCUGAACGGGGACCUGGGUAUGAGGGAUCCAUAAGAGCACCGAAAAAGAAGCAAGACUGGCCAGCUGGAGAUAGAAGAGGAUGGCAGAGAAUCGUCCCGGUAAGUAAUGAAGGUUGCUUACUAAGUAAAAAGGGUGGUUAUGGAACAAGAAAUGAGCAAGCAUGAGUUAUUUGUUAUGGGCUUAAUGAAGCCCUCAAGACACGUGGAGUUAAGAUUAAGAUUAAAAAAUUACUUUCAUUUUUUGAUUUUCUAAAAGAGGUGUGCCCCU